GUCCCUGUGGGGCAAUGGAUAGCUCGUUGGACUUUGUAUCCAAAGGUCGGGGGUUCGAAUCCCACCUGGGAUG